rnacentral:rRNA from 1 species
UACGAAGGGGGCUAGCGUUGCUCGGAAUUACUGGGCGUAAAGGGCGCGUAGGCGGACGUUUAAGUCAGAGGUCAAAUCCCGGGGCUCAACCUCGGAACUGCCUUUGAUACUGGACGUCUAGAGUACGGGAGAGGUGUGUGGAACUCCGAGUGUAGAGGUGAAAUUCGUAGAUAUUCGGAAGAACACCAGUGGCGAAGGCGACACACUGGCCCGUUACUGACGCUGAGGCGCGAAAGCGUGGGGAGCAAACAGG